GGGGGGGAGACACAUGCCAACAGGUUCUUGUGGAGGUCAGAGAACAACUUGCAGGAUGCAGGAGUUGGGUCUCUCCUACCAUGUAGUUUCCAGGAACAGACUUUAGGUCUUCAGGCCUGAAGGCAAGUGCUGUAACCCACUGAGCCUUCUCACCUGCCUAGGAAGUUCACGCCCACUGAGCUGCACUGCCUUUGCAAGCACAGCUGAAAAGCCAGUAGAUUAAUGAAAAAAUGAAAUAAAAGGAGGAUGUGGCUACUCCUGAAGUAUGGAGAGUUUUUAUUGUAGAUGUAAAGCGAAAACAGGCAGAGGGAAGAACCCCGCUGAACAUGGCCCGUAGACUGAAACCAACCGUGAGAGGGGAGAGGGUCAGGGAGACCAGACAGGAGACCAGACCAAGAGACAGUGGCCAAGAGGUAAAAGGGCCAAAAAAGCUGCCACGUAGCCAAAAAUGGCUGAAUUAUAUAGAGAAGAGUAAUUUGGGGUACAGCAGGUGCAGCCCAGUCUCUGGGCUGAAGAAGUUUAGGGUAGGGGGUGGGGUGCCAGCCAAGAGGAGCCUGUAACAGAUAGGAAUUGGGGGAUGGUGGGAGAAUCUGGCCACUAGGCCUGCUUUGAUGUGUUAAUAGGCAUCUCAGCGGUUUGUCCCGGGUUUGAGACCUACACAGCCUUUGCAAGCGCCAACAACUCCAGUUGGUUGAUCUGGAGUCAAGACUUUCUGCUUCCUGUCUGGCUUCCCCUGUUAGUAAAAUGACAACAUUGAUCUGGGGGGGGGGGUUCCUUCUGAAUUUACUAUUUCCUCAUACCCAGAUCUGUAGGUAUCGAAUCCCUGUCCUAAGGACCUGUCCUAAGGGCUGGAGAGACGGUUCAGCAUUUAGGACCACUGACAGCUCUUCUAGAAGAGCUGGUUCAAUUCCCACCACUCACAGUGUGGCUCACAAUUGGCUGUAACUCCAGUUCCAGGUGAUCCAACACCCUCUUCCAGUCUCCUUGGGCACCAGAAGUGCAUACCACAUGGUGCACAGGCGUGCAUACAGGCAAAACACCACACACGUAAAAAUCAUUUAAUUAAAAAAACAAACUCUUCUAUUUCUGACAGUGAGUCAUGGAAUUUUAGAAUUCAAAAGGUCUUUAAAUGUUACAGCUGGACCUCUAAGUCCCCAGCCUGGCAGCUAUCCUGGGCUCAGCCUGUGGUUUUUCCUGCCGUUAUCUAGUGAACGCCCAGGGCAGCUGGCAUGCAGGAAGCUGUCUACAUUUUCCUGCUGACCUAAAUAAUACCCAGAAGAAAGAAUUGAAGCUCAGAGAAGCUCUUAGGGCUGCACAGCUGGCUGGUACGACAGGCAGGAGGAUGGGAGCUUCUCAGCCCAGUUCAUGGAGAGGAGCUUUCAGCUAAAGGACACAGGACCCACGAAGCUGGCACAGUGAGGGCUCCAGGUUAAGCCAAUUCAAUGAGCAUUUGCUGGCACCCUCGAGUCUGAGCUACAUCCUGUUUUGAAGGUUUUACCGUUUCCCUUUUAAUAGAAGAGAGGCCAGGAGAAAUGUGGAAUGAGAAGGGGCUCUUCUGGGGAAUCAAAUGUAAUUUCUCCAAUCCGGGAAAACCUGGAUCGAAAUCAAUUCAAUCAACAUCCGCGGUUAGUUUGCAGCCCUUCCUGACCCGAGUUUGGUUUCAUGACGGAGCCACGAUCUGCAGAAUUGGUCUCUAAUCAAUAGCUCACCAUCAUUCUAGAAGACCAUCCCCACGCAAGCUUUCAGGUUAAUGUCACUUUUCCCAAGUGCCAUUUCGACGUGUCAUCCCAGCUCCCUUGAACUUGAACCUACUCCUGGUCAAGAGGAUGGAAUCUGUGGCCUGGGUGGAGACCAAACGUUCCAGCUGGGCGGUUCAUUCACUUUGUGUAAGGGCCAUCCCUAGGACAGUGGGCUCACCAUAUGCCGUGGGAGGAGAUGGACAGAAUAAUUAGCCUUUUAAUGAGGUACUAUAGUCUCCUUCUAGAAUCCCUGCUCUUAGUGCAGAGGCCUAUUUGUCACAACCACAUAAGUUGGUGGGUUUAUUUGGCAAACGUCAUUUUACCCUUUUGUCGUCUUCUUCUUCUUCUUCUUCUUCUUCUUCUUCUUCUUCUUCUUCUUCUUCUUCUUCUUCUUCUUCUUCUUCUUCUUCUUC
rnacentral:lncRNA from 1 species